AUGGAUUUUACAGAGAGAAGUUUUAAAGGCUGCCAAGAAUGUGCACAUGAGAUUCCUCUUCUGUCGAGUGGAGAGAAUCAGCCCAUCUCCUGCAACACAGAAGUAACUGGUGAAUUUAAAGGUAACUGCAAAUUUGAGAGAGCUUUGCUGUCUCAGUGCACACUGAUCUUGCUGCCUACGAAUUUCCAUAUUUCCCAUCUUAACUCCGUAAAUUUGUCUUUGAUUAUCUAUUUUCUUUCUUGUAUGUACUGCAAGCUCUUCCCACUGGUCUUUCUGCUUCCACGUUGCACAUUGCAACCAGAACUCUCUUGCUCAACACCAUUUGGCUAGGACACUAAAAAGCCUUCAAGAGUUUCCCGUUUCUCCUGAAGUUCAAACUAUGUUCCAUAGUCCCCAAGGCCGUGCGUGAUCUGGAGCCUGCCUGUUUCUCCAGCCUCACCCCAUCCCUCUCCUUGCUCACGCUGUUCCCAUGCCUUCUUUCAGUUCCUCGACCAGCCAAGUUCUUUUCAUCUCAGGGUGUUUUCACUUCUGUUUCCUCUCCCUGGAACAUCCUUCUCUCACUUUUUUUUGGGUGUGUGUUGCCAACUCCUUGUCUUAUCAACUUCUUGUCUCAGUUUAAUUAUCAUCUCAUAAAACCAUACUGAGUUUCCCUCUAUUUGUUUAUUUCCUUCAUAAUAAUCAUCAAAAUCUUAAACUAUCUUAUUUAUUUAUUUAUUUUAAAGAUUGGCAUCUGAGCUAACAUCUGUUGCCAAUCUUCCUUUUUUUCUUCUUCUUCUCCACAAAGCCCCCCAGUACAUGGUUGUAGGUCCUUCUGUUGUGCUUAUGUGGAAUGCUGCGUCAGGAUGGCUUGAUGAGCGGUGCCAUGUCUGCAUCCAGGAUCCGUACCAGUGAAACCCUGUGCCACCAAAGUGGACUGCUUGAACUUAACCACCCGGCCACGGGGCCAGCCCCCCUUAAACUAUCUUAUUUAUAUGUUAACUUUUUCUCCCCUCGCCCUUUAAAAAUGUAUCUUUCUACCCCUAAGGGCAUUAUACACUGUUGUAACCCCUAAUGCCUAAAACAGUACUACUAUUCUUCUAACUAGUAUGUAUCAGUUACGAAUAUGUUUGGCUGCACAUAACAACAACAACAACAAAAUGACAAGUAGUGGACUUAACGAAUAAAGAUUUAUUUUACGUACCUAAGGAGAAAUCC
rnacentral:lncRNA from 1 species